rnacentral:rRNA from 1 species
GCUACGGGUGGCAGCAGUGGGGAAUAUUGCACAAUGGGGGAAACCCUGAUGCAGCGACGCCGCGUGAGUGAAGAAGUAAUUCGUUAUGUAAAGCUCUAUCAGCAGGGAAGAAAAUGACGGUACCUGAGUACGACGCCCCGGCUAACUACGUGCCAGCAGCCGCGGUACUACGUAGGGGGCAAGCGUUAUCCGGAUUUACUGGGUGUAAAGGGAGCGCAGACGGCUGUGCAAGUCUGGGGUGAAAGGCGGGGGCCCAACCCCCGGACUGCUCUGGAAACUGUAAAGCUGGAGUGUAGGAGAGGUAAGCGGAAUGCCUAGUGUAGCGGUGAAAUGCGUAGAUAUUAGGAGGAACACCAGUGGCGAAGGCGGCUUACUGGACUGCAACUGACGUUGAGGCUCGAAAGCGUGGGGAGCAAACAGGAUUAGAUACCCUGGUAGUC